GGGGCAGUACUUAUGGGGCUGAGCUAUGGGGGGGCACUUAUGGGGCUGUGCUGUGGGGGGCACUUAUGGGGCUGUGCUGUGGGGCAGUACUUAUGGGGCUGUGUGGGGUGGUACUUAUGGGGCUGUGUUAUGGGGCAGUACUUAUGGGGUUGUUUUAUGGGGGCACUUAUGGGACUGUUCUAUGGGGCACUUAUGGGGCUGUGAUAUGGGGCACUGAUGGGGUUGUGUGGGGCAGGCACUUAUGGGGCUGUGCUGUGGGGGGCACUUAUGGGGCUGUGCUGUGGGGCAGUACUUAUGGGCCUGUGCUAUGGGGGGUGUACUGAUAGGGCUGUGCUAUGGGGGGCACUUAUGGGGCUGUGUGGGGCGGUACUUAUGGGCUGUCAGCCCUUAUGGGGCAGCAGUAGUUAUAGGGCAGCAGUCCUUAUGGGGCAGUCCUUAUGGAGCAGUAGUUAUGGGGCAGCAGUCCAUAUGGGGCAGUACUUAUGGGGCAGCGAUGCCCACGCGGUGCCUCCGAGGCCGCUCCCGUGGCUCAGCGGAAG
ensembl:lncRNA